GGUCCUUUGCUCUUAUUUCUCAUUCGGCUUGUAUAUGGGAUAUCAAGAAUCUCUGUUGUGAAAAAAUGCACGAUCUAUCUCUUAUGUGUGCUGCGAAGGGAUGUUCCGGAUGAGUUUCUUUUGCAACCUGUUCAGCUGAUGGCACAGUUAGGUUAUGGGAUCUUGUCUUACAACCUGAUCUAUUAAGGGAUAAUGCUGACAAUAAUUAUUUGAUCACUGAAGCAGAGGGGAUUAUUAAUAUAGUGAGUGCCGGAAGUUUUGAGAUCGCCACUGAGGAUACAGCUUUUGGCAAUCUAGGUUUGCGGUCAAUGGCAAUUAGUUCAGAUGGAAAAUACAUGGCUGUUGGUGAUUGUGAGGGAAACCUCCAUAUCUAUGAUCUUCACAAUUCUGAUUAUUUCCUUACCAGUGAAGGAACUGAAACAGGUUCAAGAGUUAUUCAGUCAAGCAGCAGGUAAUUGUCUCAACUUGAAGAAACCAGAUUGAAUUCAUUUCCUUGAACAAUCCCUCCUUCCAUGUUUAAUUUUAUUGUCUUUAUAUUCGUUUAAUCCUAGGAUUCUAAAGGUUUAUUUAUGUACUUAAAAAGUUAGUACAAAAUGUUCCAUCUGGGCUUUUGAUUCUCUGCACUAGAAUUCAAUCAAAUUACUCUUUUAUGUUUGUAAAAAAACCAUGUUUGCUGUUCCAAUAGCAGUGUCAGUGUGCAUCUAACAAUUCAAAUCA